rnacentral:pre_miRNA from 1 species
GUAGUAUUCCCUCCGUGCCAAAAUUCUUGUCUUACAUUUGUUUAGAUACGAAUGUAUCUAACACUAAAAUGUAACUAGAUACAUCCAUAUUUAGACAAAUUUAAGACAAGAAUUUUGGGACGGAGGAAGUACAAA